AGAACGAACGCUGGCGGCAGGCUUAACACAUGCAAGUCGAGCGCCCAGCAAUGGGAGCGGCGGACGGGUGAGUAACACGUGGGAACAUGCCUUUCGGUACGGAACAACUGCGGGAAACUGCAGCUAAUGCCGUAUGCGCCCUUACGGGGAAAGAUUUAUCGCCGAAAGAUUGGCCCGCGUCUGAUUAGCUAGUUGGUGAGGUAACGGCUCACCAAGGCUUCGAUCAGUAGCUGGUUUGAGAGAACGACCAGCCACACUGGGACUGAGACACGGCCCAGACUCCUACGGGAGGCAGCAGUGGGGAAUCUUGGACAAUGGGGGAAACCCUGAUCCAGCCAUGCCGCGUGAGUGAUGAAGGCCUUCGGGUUGUAAAACUCUUUUACCAGGGAAGAUAAUGACUGUACCUGGAGAAUAAGCCCCGGCUAACUUCGCGCCAGCAGCCGC
rnacentral:rRNA from 1 species